AUAGACGUCUCCAAGAGAAUCGCCAAAGUAGUUACAAUUAAAUGCCUAUUUAAUCUAGUAGUUUAUUUAAUCUAUUUAGUCUAUUCUUUUCUAUAUUCUAUUCUGUUCAAUUGUGCUCUGUGUUAAUCGUUGCUUGAAUCAGCAGGAAUGAAUAUAAUUUUGAUCUCACUUUUCUACCUCAGCAUGCUCCUGAUUGGAAUUGGAGGCUCUCCCAAUAGAAGAAAUUCUCCCCGUGGCUCCCCUCCUCCUCCUCUUCCUGCAGGCUCCCCUCCAAGAACUCCUCCUCCUCCUGCAGGCUCCCCUCCAAGAACUCCUGGAGCCACCCCUCUUCCUUCUUCUGAAGGCUCCUCCUCCCCUUUUACUCCUGGACACUCC